CUAGCACUUUCACAGAUCCUCCUCGGGCAGUGGGGCCAGGAUUUGGGAGCUGGUCCUGAAAUUGAAAACCCUUGAUUAUAUCCUUGCCCUGGGACUGUGUCAGUGACAGCUGUCACUCAGUGGGACGGAG
ensembl:snoRNA